rnacentral:rRNA from 1 species
UAGGGAAUAUUGGACAAUGGGGGCAACCCUGAUCCAGCCAUGCCGCGUGUGUGAAGAAGGCCCUCGGGUUGUAAAGCUCUUUUGUCCGGAAAGAAAAGCUUCGGGUUAAUACCCCGGGGUUCUGACGGUACCGGAAGAAUAAGCACCGGCUAACUUCGUGCCAGCAGCCGCGGUAAUACGAAGGGUGCAAGCGUUACUCGGAAUUACUGGGCGUAAAGCGUGCGUAGGUGGUUGUUUAAGUCUGAUGUGAAAGCCCUGGGCUCAACCUGGGAAUGGCAUUGGAAACUGGGCAGCUAGAGGGCGGUAGAGGGUAGUGGAAUUCCCGGUGUAGCAGUGAAAUGCGUAGAGAUCGGGAGGAACAUCUGUGGCGAAGGCGACUGCCUGGACCAGCACUGACACUGAGGCACGAAAGCGUGGGGAGCAAACA